CAGGCUGCUUAUUCCCCUGUUGCUAGCCCUUUCUCAGCUGUCUGCAUUUGACUGCAAGCUUGGAUCUACUGCCGCUUUCUCUUAAAGCACCAGGGUUUCUGACCUCUGCUAUAGCUGAAUUUUUGAGAAGUGCAAAGUGCUGCAAAGAAUGGAAGAAGAAUAGCAAUGAGCAACCACUGAGCCAUCUCUUCUGUAGCCUUUAUCUGGGGAAAUGUAAAGACAACCCAGGAUGAGAAGGCAGCACAUAUUCAGUGCUGAAGCCUGUCAUGCACAGGUAACCAAGGAUAACAACAACACAUCCACUGAUGAAAUCUUAUUCCAAGGCAGUGAGGAUGCUGACUUUGUUUCAGACAUGAGAGAUUGUUCAGAGCAAGAAGACCAUGUGUCUGCGGAAGAUUCAUCCAGCUCAGAUGAGGAGGAGUUAGUGCCACAAGCAGAAGUGAUGUCAACACUUCUAGUGGGAAAGAGAAGGGGACCAGCCCAGGGCUGCCAUGGAAAACCAAGGAGAGUUACAGCAGGAUGAGGAGCAGAACCGCUGCCAUCAGCCCCAGAAAACAUUGCAGAUGAUGACACCCUUAGGGAAAGGAAUGACAGUGUGAGGGAAAAGUCCACAACUAAAACAUCAUUGGAGAACAGCCAAGGACAUAGUCCAUGAAAGUUCUGGGCCAACAAGGGAAAGUGAUAAAGACACAGUGGUGGAAACAUUCCACCUGUUUCUUUCACAAGAUAUCCUGACUGAUAUCAUAAGAGAAACAAACAGAAAGGCAGAAAGAAGAUUCAGGGAGUAGCAUGAUAACCAUCCUGAAAAUAGAAAGGAGUGGAAAAAGCUGGACAAAACAGAGCUAAAAGCCUGUGUGUCCAAGGACAGAUGAACACAAAACCUGGAAAUGAUGUGAAGAUUGUAAGCGAUUUGCUUGUGUUCACCACUGCUGUUUUGUGAAGAAUGCAAUAUUUAGUUGAAACAGUUAGUAAAUGUUUUUGGAAGUAAUUGUUAGUUUGAAAAUAGUGUGAACUGCAGACUUAGCAAACUGUUCGUUCACAUUAUGAAACUCUAAAACAAGUUAAAAUGUUGUUCAUAGCUCUAGUUAAAUAAUAUUUUGGGUUCAAAUCAUCAUAAAUACUCUUUCAAACAA